UAAUGUAUGGGGAUCUGCCCGAUAGAGGGGGAUAACUACUGGAAACGGUGGCUAAUACCGCAUAAUGUCUACGGACCAAAGCAGGGGCUCUUCGGACCUUGCACUAUCGGAUGAACCCAUAUGGGAUUAGCUAGUGGGUGGGGUAAAGGCUCACCUAGGCGACGAUCUCUAGCUGGUCUGAGAGGAUGAUCAGCCACACUGGGACUGAGACACGGCCCAG
rnacentral:rRNA from 1 species